AACAUGUACUCUAAAGAGAGAUCAUAUUCCAAGAUACAUUUCCUCCCAUGAAGGAUAAGGCAUCUGGCAUCCAUCACUUGUCAGGGACAGAGGAACUGGAGGGACCCUGGCUGCCUUUGGGGGCCCGCCAUGCUUGGCUUCCCACAGCCCUGAGGCCUUGCCCUUCCGCCAUCUGGCAGCUCCUGAAGGCCCGUUCCCUCCGUGAAUCAUCUCAGGCCAGCCUGCGUGGGAUAUCCUCUCCCUCCACGAUUACUGCUUCAGAGCCUUAAGUGGCCUAAUCAAACCAAUCAUUUUCCUAUUUGCACAUUUAGUCUUUUGUUCUGUCUGUGCCACCUGCAAGGUCACGCCCUACUUCCCUGCAGAUAGAAUCUCAAAGAAUGAGCCCUGUGUUUGGGACCUUGGGACCAGGAUCAGGCUGCCUACGCUGACAUCUCAGCUCUGCCAAUUAAGAGUUGUAUGAUUUGGGUCUGUGGGUCUUGUUCCUAGCAUGUGACCUGGCAAAGAGCAUAUCCAGUGAGUGUUGAGUGAACAAAGGAGAAGUGGAAGAGACUGCAAUGAGGAGAGAACUCCCUGGCUGCAGGCGGCUUUCUCGCAGCCCCAGGUGGAAGCUCUUCUACUGCACCAGCCCUGUGGUUAUGUCAGAUGGACUCAGGCCUCCAGAGUGUGGCUCCAUAAACAACA
rnacentral:lncRNA from 10 species